ensembl:lncRNA
CCCUGGACUGGUAUUACAGCUGAGACAGGGGCCCUUUCUACCUAGUACCCUCCCCUGGACUGGUAUUACAGCCGAGACAGACAGGGGCCCUUUCUACCUAGUACCCUCCCCUGGACUGGUAUUACAGCUGAGACAGACAGGGGGCCCUUUCUACCUAGUACCCUCCCCUGGACUGGUAUUACAGCCGAGACAGACAGGGGACCCUUUCUACUCAGGCACAGGGAGGGGCAGCUCAGAACCUUUGUGGUCCUGAGUGAUUCUCUGCCACAACAACUAACAUGGAUUUAAAAAAGGAAAGUGUAACAAUGGUCCUUCUGUGUUAGUGGCUGAAAAUGUCAGGUCUUCCUCUUCUGAUGCUAUGAUGCCCAGUUCUGUCUGUGUGUAGUCUGGUGCUGGGAGGUUACUAGGCUUCACAGACAACAGUCUGGUGCUGUGAGGUUACUAGGCUUCACAGACAACAGUCUGGUGCUGGGAGGUUACUAGGCUUCACAGACAACAGUCUGGUGCUGUGAGGUUACUAGGCUUCACAGACAACAGUCUGGUGCUCUGAGGUUACUAGGCUUCACAGACAACAGUCUGGUGCUGGGAGGUUACUAGGCUUCACAGACAACAGUCUGGUGCUGGGAGGUUACUAGGCUUCACAGACAACAGUCAGACUUCCUGUCUGUAAGCGUCCCCAUGUUCAGAAUUAUAUUUGUAUUAUUCUCACUAGUCUUUAUUUACACAUUUAAUAUUUCUUGGGAGCUGCUUGUGUCUGGAUGGUGUGCUAACCUGUUUGACAUUAUAAUAAUGUAAUAUAAUUUAUAUCGUUUGUAUUAUUCUAACAUAAUAUUGUGGGUCUUUUU